rnacentral:rRNA from 1 species
ACGGCUGAGUAACGCGUGGGUGACAUACCUAUCGGUGGGGAAUAACUGCCCGAAAGGGUGGCUAAUACCGCAUACGUCCGCUCCUUCGUGGGGGUGGGGAAAACCGCAAGGUGCCGAUGGAGUGGCCCGCGUUCGAUUAGCUGGUUGGUGGGGUAACGGCCUACCAAGGCGACGAUCGAUAGCUGGUCUCAGAGGAUGAUCAGCCAGACUGGGACUGAGACACGGCCCAG